GACAUCUGGAAAGAGAUUGCGCCGAAUCAUCGCGAUUCCGGCGAAAUCCGCCGACGGGAUAAUGCUCUCAGGCACAGCGACAGAUGGGGCUCG
rnacentral:ncRNA from 1 species